GUUUGACUGGCAUAAGCAAAGUCGUUAGCAAUGGUAUGUGAAACACUUUCUUCAGCGUGAUCAGCAGGCAAAGAUUCUCCUUUAUCAUAUGUAAUAUGCCCAUUAACAGCUUCUGAUUCUAAAUGUACAACGGGCUCAGUAAAGUUAUUUGCUGGAUAUCCAAUUAUCUCAUUAUUACUUGUAGCUGGAUAGCUCUUGCCAGUUUCAGCAUCAAGAGAAGUUGGUGUUUCAUUCCUACCAAUUUCGGCAUUAGAAGGAAUCAAGGUCUCAACCUCCUUAGAAGAGCUGUUUUGCUCAGAUCUGUUUUGACUGGCACUAACAAAGCCAUU
rnacentral:misc_RNA from 1 species